rnacentral:rRNA from 1 species
UACGGGGGGGGCAAGCGUUGUUCGGAAUUACUGGGCGUAAAGGGCUCGUAGGUGGCCAACUAAGUCAGACGUGAAAUCCCUCGGCUUAACCGGGGAACUGCGUCUGAUACUGGAUGGCUUGAGAUUGGGAGAGGGAUGCGGAAUUCCAGGUGUAGCGGUGAAAUGCGUAGAUAUCUGGAGGAACACCGGUGGCGAAGGCGGCAUCCUGGACCAACACUGACACUGAGGAGCGAAAGCGUGGGGAGCAAACGGG